rnacentral:rRNA from 1 species
CCUACGGGAUGCAGCAGUGAGGAAUAUUGGUCAAUGAGCGGGAGCCUGAACCAGCCAAGCCGCGUGAGGGAUGAAGGUACUACGUCUCGUAAACCUCUUUUAUCAAGGAACAAAGUCGGGCACUCUUCCCCUGAUGUGGGUACUUGAUGAAAAAGCAUCGGCUAACUCCGUGCCAGCAGCCGCGGUAAUACGGAGGAUCCAAGCGUUCUCCGGAUUUAUUGGGUUUAAAGGGUGCGUAGGCGGGCUGAUAAGUUAGAGGUGAAAUCCUGCGGCUCAACGGGGGAAUUGCCUUUGAUACUGGUAGGCUAGAGUGCAGUUGCGGUAGGCGGAAUGUAUGGUGUAGCGGUGAAAUGCUUAGAGAUCACACAGAACUCCGAUUGCGAAGGCAGCUUACCAAGCUGCUUCUGACGUUGAUGCACGAAAGCGUGGGGAGCAAACAGGAUUAGAUACCCCAGUAGUC